UGGAGGAUUCUUCUUCAGGUCUCUCUCUUUCAAAACUCAGCACCCCAUUUGAUCUGAUCGGAGAGAGAGAGAGAGAGAGGGGGGGGGGGGGGGGGGGGAAGGGGAUGGUGAUGACGCAGCCAAUAUUUAUAGGGAUCGAUUCUGACUACGCACUCUAUGUCGCCGAAUCCUUGCGUUUCUAUAAUGAUACAUGAAGUUUGUUCGCCUUCCAACCAAAAUAUGGCGGGUUGGCGUCUCUCUCUCUCUCAAAAGCUCUUUUUGCAGAUCAAGGAUUAAAGCCCCCAAAAGGAUUCUUCAACUCACACAAAAACCCAAACCCUAAGUUUGUGGCACCAUCGUGAUGGGUAUUUUUAACUUGACCUGUACAAGCUGACCAACUAACUGUGCAUGUCCUCACUCUUAGCCUUCAGAUGUUUGGUUGUCGAGUGAUCCAGAAGCAAUGAGAGGAUAAAUUGUGCGGCAAUGUCAACGGUUUCACCAGCAUAAGGAUUUGAGACCAAUUUUCAAGCGGCCAAAUAAGUUAAAAAUUCGAAUGGCUGAUUUUAUACACCAGUUUGAUCUUUUGUCUUUCUUGGUUAAAAAUAGAUACAACUUUAUGCGAUUGUUUAGCGGUGAUAUUAUACAUCUCUUUAUUCGUGGUAUCUGAAAGUGUCAAGCUCUACGAAUAAGGGAAAAGGAAAAGCCACAGAUGCUAAAGAUGCCUUCAUGUCUCUUUUGUUGGUUGUGUUUGGAGUAUAUUAUAUUUAGCUAAUUGAAAAUUAGGUGAAAUAGUUAUAGUAUCCCUACCAAAUUUUACUGUCUUUGUCCUUUUUUUUCCCUACCCUUAAAUAAUAAGGAUGAGUUUUUCGGAUGGCAAUUUUGGGUCAAUUUUUCCAAUUGUGCCCCCUCAUUGGGAAUCAUGCAGUCUUCUCCAUUUGGUCGUAAUUGUAAUUUCGCCAUGAGCAGAGAGAGAGGGAGAGGAAGAGAUGUCAGGCCCGAGGCAGAUUUGACAAGGUGAUCGGGUUGGGCGUUGAACUAGAGGAAUACAUACGUAUGAAGCAUCCUUCACAUCGGUACAAUUUCUUCACGAACUUCUUCCUUAGGUCAAUCUCUCUCUCUCUCUCUCUCUCUCUCUCUCUCUCUCUCUCUCUCUCUCUCACUCUCUCUCGUUUCAUUGUCGCGAUUGUAGCAGGGUUCUCCGUUUCUGAUUUGCUGUUCAAAGCGGGUAUGGUUCGGCCACCCAUUCAUCUUCCUCUGGUUAACUUAUAGAACUUUUCUGCCUAGGGUUUCCUAAUUCCUUGACUUUUGAU